GCAAAUAAAACAGGGAGCUGGAUUCUUGUAUUUUGCCUUAUUAUUAGAACUUUUUUUUUGCAUCUCCAUCAGAGGGUACUAUGGAUCUUCAAGUGGAAGCUUUAUUUCCUGUCUGUUGGAAAGAAACCAUUAAUAAAGGUUUCUUCAUUGCAUAUGCUAGCAGCUGGAUCCUAUGUUGCAAAAUAGCCACUGCUGCACUCAAAGAUGAAAUUAAGUGGAGGCAAGCAGAGAAGAGAUGGUUAUAAUCGCAUUCUAAAUAUGUUAGCUUUAUAUCUACCCAUGUAACAACAAUGUUGGUAUAAUACAGGACGAUGUGUUUAUUUCAACGUUUACUUUGCUGCUAUAAUAUAAUAUUCAGUUCCA